CCUACGGUGGACAGCAGUCGAGAAUCAUUCACAAUGGGGGAAACCCUGAUGGUGCGACGCCGCGUGGGGGAAUGAAGGUCUUCGGAUUGUAAACCCCUGUCAUGUGGGAGCAAAUUAAAAAGAUAGUACCACAAGAGGAAGAGACGGCUAACUCUGUGCCAGCAGCCGCGGUAAUACAGAGGUCUCAAGCGUUGUUCGGAAUCACUGGGCGUAAAGCGUGCGUAGGCUGUUUCGUAAGUCGUGUGUGAAAGGCGCGGGCUCAACCCGCGGACGGCACAUGAUACUGCGAGACUAGAGUAAUGGAGGGGGAACCGGAAUUCUCGGUGUAGCAGUGAAAUGCGUAGAUAUCGAGAGGAACACUCGUGUCGAAGGCGGGUUCCUGGACAUUAACUGACGCUGAGGCACGAAGGCCAGGGGAGCGAAAGGGAUUAGAUACCCCGGUAGUC
rnacentral:rRNA from 1 species